UACGUAGGUCCCGAGCGUUGUCCGGAUUUAUUGGGCGUAAAGCGAGCGCAGGUGGUUUAUUAAGUCUGGUGUAAAAGUCAGUGGCUCAACCAUUGUAUGCAUUGGAAACUGGUAGACUUGAGUGCAGGAGAGGAGAGUGGAAUUCCAUGUGUAGCGGUGAAAUGCGUAGAUAUAUGGAGGAACACCGGUGGCGAAAGCGGCUCUCUGGCCUGUAACUGACACUGAGGCUCGAAAGCGUGGGGAGCAAACAGG
rnacentral:rRNA from 1 species